GUAGAAGUUUUCGCCACCCCUGAA
rnacentral:miRNA from 1 species